rnacentral:lncRNA from 1 species
AAGCCAAAACUUUUCUCACAGAUGCUGGUGGGUUAAAUGCAUUCUAUGGUCAUGAUCCAACCAAAGAUGAAGAUCAGAAAGCCUUUGUUAAGGACUUUGAGCCAAGGCCUAAUUUAUCUGUUUACCAUGCAUGAUGGUGAACUAAAAGACCAGAAGAAAGCCUUUGCUAGAGACUUGGUUAACGUGUCUGUUUACUAUGAUUAAACUAUUAAAAGCUUCGGAUGUAAUAAAGCAUGCACAAAUACAAAUGCUAGCUAGCUUUGGGUUUAAUUUAUUUUGUAUGUGUGUUUUUGUUAUAUGGUUUUUUCUUAUUUGUUGCCACUAAGGGCCCGUUCGGCAAAUAAGUAAAAGCAACUAAGGAAUUUCCGUCAAAGUAGCAGUGGAGAAAGGAGAAAGACGAAAGGAGAAAGUUACUAUAGAAAACUUAUGUGAAAAUUCAUUUUCUGACUUCUUAAAUUAUUUUCUAUUUUUUUCAUUUGCGUUUGCCGAACAUACUUUCUGCUUCUUUCCUUUUUAAAAGUUAAGAAAUGUAUUUCUAGGCCUUUGCCGAACGGGCCCUAAGUUGUGUACAUUUUAUUGAAUUUGAAUAAAUUGUGUUUG